rnacentral:rRNA from 1 species
GAUGAACGCUGGCGGCGUGCCUAAUACAUGCAAGUCGAGCGAACGGACGAGAAGCUUGCUUCUCUGAUGUUAGCGGCGGACGGGUGAGUAACACGUGGAUAACCUACCUAUAAGACUGGGAUAACUUCGGGAAACCGGAGCUAAUACCGGAUAAUAUUUUGAACCGCAUGGUUCAAAAGUGAAAGACGGUCUUGCUGUCACUUAUAGAUGGAUCCGCGCUGCAUUAGCUAGUUGGUAAGGUAACGGCUUACCAAGGCAACGAUGCAUAGCCGACCUGAGAGGGUGAUCGGCCGCACUGGAGCGGGGACGCGGUCCAGACUCCUACGGGAGGCAGCAGUAGGGAAUCUUCCGCAAUGGGCGAAAGCCUGACGGAGCAACGCCGCGUGAGUGAUGAAGGUCUUCGGAUCGUAAAACUCUGUUAUUAGGGAAGAACAUAUGUGUAAGUAACUGUGCACAUCUUGACGGUACCUAAUCAGAAAGCCACGGCUAACUACGUG